rnacentral:rRNA from 1 species
CCUACGGGAGGCAGCAGUGAGGAAUAUUGGUCAAUGGCCGCAAGUCUGAACCAGCCAAGCCGCGUGCGGGAAGACGGCCCUAAGAGUUGUAAACCUCUUUUGUCCGGGGGCAAAGACAGACACGCGUAUCUGUUUGAGAGUACCCGAAGAAAAAGCAUCGGCUAACUCCGUGCCAGCAGCCGCGGUAAUCCGGAGGAUGCAAGCGUUAUCCGGAUUUAUUGGGUUUAAAGGGUCCGCAGGCGGCGGUAAAAGUUAGGGGUCAAAUCCCGGGGCCAAACCCCGUACUGCCGUUGAAACUGGUUGGCUUGAGUGUGAGAGAAGUAUGCGGAAUGCGUGGUGUAGCGGUGAAAUGCAUAGAGAUCAUGCAGAACACCGAUUGCGAAGGCAGCAUACCGG